GCGCGCGCGCGCCGGGCUGAGCGAGGGGAGGGACAGGGACGGAGCUUUUCUUAUUCCGUCCCGUCACUCGCCCCGCCCCCUCGUACGCAUGCGCGAGAGCGGGGCCGGUUUUUUUGCUCUCCCCGUAACCCCGCCCCUUUCCCCUUCCUGGGGGGGGGGGAAGACGAGGGCGGGUUCUACUUCCAGGUUGCUCCUCUGAAGCUUCCGGGGGCUGCGCGGUGGGAGGGGGGAGUCGCCGCGGUGGGGAUGGAGCGGGACCUGCUCCGCCAGGCGCUGAGUUUCCAUGGCCCCACGCUGCUCUCCCUGCUCCGCACCGAGCAGCACGAUAACCCCGACUUCCGGGGCCUCCUGCCCCCGGCCGGGCCCAGCCUCGAGCCGCCCCGGGAAGCCCAGCAUCAGCCGCCCGCCAGGAAAGAGAAAAGAAUUGAUAACAUUGAGAUACAACACUUCAUUGCAAAGAAAGCUGAUUUACUUUUUGCUCUUUCAUGGAAACCAAGUGCAUCAACAGAUUCAGAAUCAAAUGAAGAGAAUGAAGAUUGUUAUGCUGUUAUGCCACCCCUGGAGCAGUUCAUGGAGGUGCCAAGUGAGGACAGGAGGGAGCUGUUUUUCCGAGACAUUGAGCGUGGCGAUGUUGUGAUCGGAAGAAUUAGUUCUAUUCGUGAAUUUGGCUUUUUCAUGGUGUUAAUCUGUCUGGGCAGUGGUGUCAUCAGAGAGAUCUCACAGUUAGAAAUCACUGCUCUUUGUCCGUUGAGAGAUGUGCCUUCUCAUAGCAGCCAUGGUGAUCCUUUAUCAUAUUAUCAAACUGGAGACCUUAUACAAGCUGCAAUCAAGGACAUUGAUCGUUACCAUGAAAAGCUCACGAUAUCACUGCACAGCUCUGCUCUUCCACCCAGUCUGUCUAGUACUAAACUAGGGGUAAUUAGUUCUGAAGACUUGCCUUUACAUUAUAGGAGAAGUGUUGAAGUAGCCAGUACUUCGGAGACAUAUGAAAAAGUCUUACAUCAUUCCUUGGGAUUUGCUAAUCCAGCAGUAGUUGAACUUUUAUUAGGAAAACUGGGACUAAGUGAAUCCAGCCCACCAUCGUUAAUGAGAGGCCUGCAAAGCAAAAACUUCAAUGAAGAAGACUUUGCCUUUGCAUUGAGGAAAAAGCAAUCUGCAUCUUGGGCCUUGAAAUGUGUGAAGAUAGGGGUUGAUUAUUUUAAGGUUGGUCGCCAUGUGGAGGCUAUGAAUGAAUACAACAAGGCCUUGGAAAUAGAUGCACAAAAUGUUGAAGCCUUGGUAGCUCGUGGGGCACUUUAUGCAACAAAAGGAAGCUUAAACAAAGCCAUAGAUGAUUUUGAAGUUGCGUUAAAAAACUGUCCAACCCAUAGAAAUGCAAGGAAAUAUCUCUGUCAGACACUUGUGGAAAGAGGAGGCCAGUUGGAAGAGGAAGAUAACCUAUUAAAUGCUCAGAAUUAUUAUAAGAAAGCUUUAAUUUUGGAUGAGACUUUUAAAGAAGCGGAGGAUGCCUUACUGAAACUCCGUAAACAUAUGCAGGUGAUUCUUUAUUUUCUCUUAACUUUAUCUGCUACAAUCAAAACUCCUAUUAAAAACAUUGGGAAGGGGGAAAUUAUUUACUGGUUACUGUGUCUUAUUCUCCUCUUUCCCCUCUUUACAACACAUCUGUCACAGUAAGUAUUAUGGCUGUAUCUACAAAAAGCAAGGUGCCUGUGGAUGGCUUGAUCAUUUCAGAUGGGCAGGGGAAGCAACAGCACAGCAGUCGGAUGCAGGGAAAGACCAGAACUCAGUAACUGUUUCUGAUGAAGGGGAGGAGAGAACAAUCUGUUCACACAAGUGGGACUGCUGAUACGGAAUUAAGACUUUGUGUAGGGUGAAAUCCCCAAACAGACAGGUCAGUUUUAGACAUAUGCCAGAGGGUUGUAAUUGGGAAUAUUCAAAGAGGAGCAGGGUAAGACUGAUCAGGGCUAGCUCAGAAGGAAGACUUUGUGUAUCUUCAUGUGGCACAAAAAGAAUCUUAAUUAAAGGCCUGGAGAGAGCUGGGGACACCGUGUCACUGUUAUGGUCAGCUGAUAAUCCAGAAUUUUGCCAAACUUGUGAGGUGCAAAUUAACAAGCUAGUUAUUUAAAACGGAGAAAAAAAUAACAAUUAACGAGGGUGCAAGCUUUGGAGGAAAUGAUGGGGGAAGCAAGUUCCAGGGUCCCUUUUUUUUCUUUUCUCCACCGCCCACAACAUGUUUCCUUAGUGAGCCCCUAUGGGUCUCCAUGUCAAGCUCCUUUGUCUGUGGCCUUCUCUUUCUGUGGCUUUUUCAUUGGUCUCCUUUACUUACUUUGUUUUCCAGAUAGGAUCAAAAAGAGUGAAUUAAAGUUAGAGAACUGGGGCACUGGGUUGCUGUACUCAAUGCUUCUGUGCUGAAGGAAGUAAAUAGACUGGGGUGGAAGUGUGCAGGCUGGUUUCUUUAUGCAGGGCUUGAUUGACACUGCUUUAGCAGGUCAGGGAAGCCAUAAUAUGAAAAGGUUUUGUUGAAGGAUGGGGAAGAGGAGAUUUAUGGUAACCUUUAUUAAAGCUAAAUUAUACUGCAGAAAUCUCCACUUGCAGUAUGUGAGCACUGCCAACAUAUCUGGCAUUAUCCUGAGAAAAAGUAUUGUUGCUGUAACAAGGCGUCUUACAACCUAAGUCACAAAUAAAAGUGAUGAAACAAGUCAAAGAAAUGGUUUUACCCUCAUUCCAAGUUAUACUGAUGGUGAUGGUCAUUGAUGCAGCUGAGGAACAUAAGGCUUGCUGUUGUUCAGCAGUUUGUGUAAGUUUGCCCAUGAUAAAUUAAGGGUUUCCCUUAUAUCCUAAGGCAGUAUCUCUUAUAUGACCAUUGCCAAGCCUUGAGAAUUGGUAUCCAGAGACUUGCUGCUCACCCUGGAUAUGAAUUCAGCUGUUUCAAACCAUUUCCAACAGUACCACGUUAAAGCACAUCAGGGAGCUUUUAGUGCACACCAGCAGGGUCUACAUGGACCAGUUAGCACAUUAGUGUUUUUAGAAAUUGCCUCCCCGCCAUAGUGCAUAUUGUUGCACAAUGUAGACAAGCCCUUAGAGAGCUGUGGGGUGCAGGAGCCUGUCCAGCUAAUGGGGUUAGCUAGCAUGCCUUUAAUGAUUGAUUGUUUAGUAACUGAAGGCUCCGUUACCUCUACGUAAACCUUGGUUUACAUGUCUCUCUGUUUUUAGCUGCCCUACUAGAAUGAUACAAUUUACAGUUCAAACAUGAAAUACUCUUUUCCUGUAAUACUGAUGAUAUGUUUUUUUUUCAAUGCAUUUUCUUCUGAACUGGACCGUUGCUGCUGUGUCUGACAUCUGGUGCUGCUCAUCAACAACAACCCACUGGAAUAUGAUUUCUUAUGUAAACAUGCAUCAAACUGGGCUGUGGUACAAUUACAAAAUGAAAUCUUUGGAAAUGAGGGAGAAGCAAGCUGCAAAAGAAGAGAGACAGAA